rnacentral:lncRNA from 1 species
CCCCUAGGCCCCUUCCUUCCAUAAGCCUACUCAGGACUCCACUGGGUUACUGACUACUCACCCUCCCCUCAGGUCAUCUCCUGACCCGUACACAGUUAUGUCCACCCAGGCUCUGCUUGGACACCUGUGCCUGAUGUUCACCAGGGGCCAGAUGUCGUCCUCAGGCCUGAUGUCCACCUGGGGCCUGAUGUCUGCCUUGGCCUAUGUCCCUCUUGGGGCCUUGUGUUCACCUGGGGACUGUAUCCAGCUGGGGCCUGAUGGCCUACUGGGUCUUGUUGUUCACCUAAGGCCUUGUGUCCACCUGGGGACUGGUGAUCACCUGGGGCCUGGGUGUCCACCUGAGGCCGGAGGUGCACCUAAGGCCUGAGUUUUCACCUGGGCCUGAUGAUCACCUGGGGACUGGGUGUGUGCCUUGGGUCUUUUCCCUUUUCCUGAACAGGGCUUGCAGUUUCCAAACCAGACACAAUCUCCCAGUUGGAGAAAGAAAAAGGAUCCUAGAUGAUAGUGAGACAAAUUUCAGGAAACUCCAUCCAAAUAAGUAAAUGAGAAUGAGGACAGGAUUCAUUGCAUGGUGGCAUGUGCCUGCAGUCCCAGCUACUCAGGAGGCUGAGGUGGGAGGAUCGCUUGAACUCAGGAGUUGAAGGCUGCAGUGGGUGAGGAUCACAACACUGAAUUCCAGCUGAGGUGACAGAAUGAGACCCUGUCUCUCUAAAAAACAAGCAAGCAAACAAACCAAAAACCACAAACAAACCAGACCCCUCUUAGCAGAAUACUUCCAUGAGGUAAUAAAAGAAAGAAGAAAGUGAAACGAACAAACAAUUUUACUCAAGAAACUAGUGAGAAAUCAAAGAAAUGUCCAAGAAGUAGGAUACAAGAAUUAAUCAAAACAGAUUAACAGUGGAAUAAAUAAAUGAAUCCAACUGGUUCUUUGUAAUGGAAUGUGGAAAGACAUACUCUAUUCUUCUGGAUAGGAAGAUGAAAUAUCAUAAUCAUAUCAAUGCAAGUUUUAUGCAUGCUCAAACAUGUAUAAACUAAGAAAAAAUCUGAAAGGACAGACAGCAAAAUGUUUGCAGUUUUUUUCCUCCAAGUGGUAAGAUUAAAGAACACAGACAAAAAUAGAAACUCCUCACAUGACCCACCACGAAGCCCAUCAGAUGGCAGAAUGCAGAAUCAGGUUGCAGUGGACUGAUCUUAAAACAGAUGAAGCAGUGGAGAAAAUCUUCCUGGAGCUGAUGGUAUAAUUUGCUUCUUGAAACAAUGACAGUCCAUGAAAUAAGGUGGGGAAGAUGUUUUGAACCUCUCUCAGCAGCAGAUCCCUAAAUCACAGACCCAGAACUUGGAGGAAACAGGAAACAGGAGGCCAUCUCUGCACCUCUCCAGCACUGCUCUGGUUGGUGGGCAGAAUAUCAUAAAAUCAUCACGAUUCUUAUAUCAAAAACCAAAUUCUAGACUGAUUAAAUAAUUAUUUUUUUAAAUGAGAAAAGUUAUCGUUUAUUUGAUCUUGGGCUAGGGAAGAUAUUUCCAA